rnacentral:rRNA from 1 species
UACAGAGGGUGCGAGCGUUAAUCGGAAUUAUUGGGCGUAAAGCGUGCGUAGACGGCUAUCUAAGUCGGGUGUGAAAGCCCCGGGCUCAACCUGGGAAUUGCAUUCGAUACUGGAUAGCUAGAGUUCGGCAGAGGGAAGCGGAAUUUCCGGUGUAGCGGUGAAAUGCGUAGAUAUCGGAAGGAACAUCAGUGGCGGAAAGCGGCUUCCUGGACCAGAACUGACGAUCAGGCACGGAAAGCGUGGG